rnacentral:lncRNA from 1 species
CAAUAAGCCUCCACUUGGUCAGUGUUUUGCUGAGGAGCACAGGAUGAGUUACCUAAACCUCGUGGCUGUGACACAGCUCCAUUGCAGUCACUUUCACUUCACCCUUGGCUCUGAUUUAAUCAAGAAUUUGAUUACACUGCAGGCAAACAGCAGCAGAAGGAGGAGGCACAAGGUGUGAAAUGGAACCAUUCAGACUCCAGAGGAAAGCCACCAUUUAGCAUUCAGGAUGAAAUUCUAGAGCAG